rnacentral:rRNA from 1 species
AGUGAACGCUGGCGGUAGGCCUAACACAUGCAAGUCGAACGGCAGCACAGUAAGAGCUUGCUCUUACGGGUGGCGAGUGGCGGACGGGUGAGGAAUACAUCGGAAUCUACUUUUUCGUGGGGGAUAACGUAGGGAAACUUACGCUAAUACCGCAUACGACCUACGGGUGAAAGCAGGGGAUCUUCGGACCUUGCGCGAUUGAAUGAGCCGAUGUCGGAUUAGCUAGUUGGCGGGGUAAAGGCCCACCAAGGCGACGAUCCGUAGCUGGUCUGAGAGGAUGAUCAGCCAAACUUGAACUGAGACACGGGCCAGACUCCUUCGGGGAGCAGCAGGGGGGAAUUAUGGACAAAGGGCGGAAAGCUGGACCAGCCAAACCGGGGGGGGGAAGAAGGCCUUCGGGUUGGAAAGCCCUUUUGUUGGGAAAGAAAAGCAGCAGGUUAAUACCCCGCUGUUCUGACGGUACCCAAAGAAUAAGCACCGGCUAACUUCGUG